rnacentral:rRNA from 1 species
UACGUAGGGUGCGAGCGUUGUCCGGAAUUACUGGGCGUAAAGCGCGUGUAGGCGGCUAAGUAAGUCGGGCGUGAAAUCCCACGGCUCAACCGUGGAAGUGCACUCGAAACUGCAUAGCUAGAGUCCUGGAGAGGAAGGUGGAAUGCUUGGUGUAGAGGUGAAAUUCGUAGAUAUCGGGAAGGAACACCCGUGGCGAAGGCGGCUCUCUGGUACGUGACUGACGCUGAGACGCGAAAGCGUGGGGAGCAAACAGG